UCCUCUCUUCACGUUCCCUCUCACUCUCAUUCCUCUCUUCCUCUUCGUCUCAUUCCUCUCUUCACGUUCUCUCUCAGUCUCAUUCCUCUCACGCAGUGGCUCUUCGUCUCAUUCCUCUCUUCACGUUCCCUCUCACUCUCAUUCCUCUCACGCAGUGGCUCCGCUGCCUCUUUCCUCUCACGCAGUGGCUCCGCUGCCUCUUCCACGAAAUCUUUGAAGUCUAACCAAAUAACAUGAAGAAGGUGAAGCCCUUGCUGGAAAUACCAGGUGCAGAGAGCAAGCUGUCACUGUGGAAGGCUAACCUAGCAGAAGAGGGAAGCUUUGAUGAAGCCAUUAAAGGCUGCAUUGGAGUUUUCCAUGUGGCCACACCCAUUGACUUUGAGUCCAAAGAUCCCGAGAAUGAAGUGAUAAAGCCUGCAAUAAGGGGAGUGAUAGAUAUCAUGAAGCAUGCCUGAAGGCAAAAACUGUGAGAAGGCUAGUUUACAGGCAUUUUUUGGUCUUUGGAAGCUCAUUCAAGGUUGCGGGGUGUUCCAUCUAUUUCUAGGAAGAAGAUGCAAAUAAUCACACCUAAUUGUCGACGUCAAUUGGGCAGUUAUGAGUGUGGGUAUUAUGUAAUGAAACACAUGCAUACCAUUAUUUGUACAAACAUUAUUGAAUCAUGGAAUAAGAUCUUUAAUGAUUCAUCUCCCAUGGAAGCUGCAGACAUGGAAGACAUUAGAAGGAACUGGGCUUCUUUUAUUUUAAGUGUUAGUAGAAACUUGGCUACACUUAAAUAGUGUAUGUACAUUAAUGUAAUAUUUGGAUUUAAUAUAUAGUUUCAUGUAUAAAUGAUGUAUUAAAUAUUAGACUAUUUAAUAUUUGAAAUGUAUUCUAUUUUA